rnacentral:lncRNA from 1 species
UUCUAGUGUGUCCUGCUCAAGGUGGAGGCUGAUAUUUAUGGGCCUUGGUGGUUUCUUACCCACCCCUUCUAGCGUUCCCCAGACGACAGACACUUGGCCCUGGCUAGCUGGGCAAGGGCAGUCCUUAGUGACUCCAGGGAUUCUUGAGAGGCAGAGGCCAUGUCCCACCCGUGGCUGCAGGUCGGGUUCCUCGUACCAAGGGGAGGCUGAGGGCACAGCUGGCCCCACUUGGGGAGGGUAGAUAACAUCUGGACUGCCCGGCUUGGGUCUCUGCUCCUCACCCUAGCCCUCUUCUCCAAUCUGAGCCUACCCUGGCCUCCUGUCUCCUGGCUAGGGACACGGCUGUCCCACAGGUGCCGUCUUGGGUUAUCUCGCUGCUGUUGGCUGGUUUCACUCUGGAGGUUGGCACCAUGGACACAGCUCAGCGUUGCUCUGGCGCAUAUCCUCCUGAGCCACACCCCAAGUCUGGUGUGAGGAAGGGCUUCUCUUCUCUUCACAGAGGUGCCUGGCUUCCUGUGCAGCACACUGGGUCCAGGACAGGAGGCCCCCCCCCCAAACCAAGCCUCACGUGUGUGCCUUUAUGAGGCGUUGGGAGAAAGCUACCCUCCUGUGUAUUCUGUUUUCUCCAUGAGAUUGUUGUGCCAUGUCACACUUUUGUAUAUUCCUAGACUAAUAAAUGGAAACAAGAACAGCC